GUUUAUGUGGUUCUUCAUGAGAGUUUUUAUUAUAGUCGACGCAGUUGCCACUUUAGUGUUUUGUUUCGAAUUUUGCAAAGACGCGUCCACUCCCUGUUGACAAAAUAGCGCGGAAGGUUCUGGGGAAAAUCUGCAAUAAAACCUGUGGUUUGCGAAACCGGUUACUGUAUAUUUAAAACCGGCGAAGCGUCUUUAACAAUUUAUUCCGUGUGUGGUGUUAUUCCGGUUUGUGGAUUUUGUGACACGACAAAAUGAAAAUUGCGCUGGUAGUUUUGACCGCGAUGGCGGCCAGCGUGUGCUCCGAAACGGCAGUGGAGGAAUUUGCUGCCGGUAACCUCAAAUUUACCGCACAGCUUUACAAGGAACUACUCAAAGAAAACAAAGGCAACUUCAUCGUCAGUCCCCUUUCCAUCGAAAUAAUCUUGGCGUUGACGCAAGCCGGCGCCCGUGGCGGCACAGCCGAAGAAUUUACCCAAAGCCUGAGCCUGCCCGCUACGCGCGACCGCACCGAAGAAGCGUUGAGGACCUUUUUGCCGACUCUGAAGAGCUCCAAGGACGACCUGAAGCUGUUGUCCGCGAACAAGCUCUUCGCCGGCGACAGGUUCCGCAUCCUUGACGAAUUCAGGAGGAUCGCCAACGACGUGUUCGAAGCUGGCGUCGAUAACGUGGACUUUGCUAAGGCCCAGCAGGCCGCCAAGACCAUCAACGAUUGGGUGGAACAACAUACCAACAACAAGAUCAAGAAUUUGAUCGAUCCCGAUAGCCUGAGCGACGCUACUAGAUUGGUCCUGGUCAACGCCCUGUAUUUCAGUGCCAAAUGGGAGAACCAAUUCGAGAAGUACGCCACGAGGAAGGAGGCUUUCUACACGAACGCCCUCGAUUCGAAACAAGUCGACAUGAUGCACAUCGAGGACUCGUUCCGAUACUACGAGUGCAACGAGAAGAACGUCAAGUUUCUCGAACUGCCGUACCUCGGCGGAAACAUCUCCAUGACGAUCGUACUGCCCAACGACAAGGAGGGCCUCGUCAAAGCUGAGGAGAACAUCGAAGAGUUGUUGAAACCGCACCCGCUCACCCACGAGAGGGUGGCCGUCUCUUUGCCCAAGUUCCUCGUCGAGAGCGACAUCAAACUGAAACCGAUUCUGCAGAGGUUGGGCUUGACCAAGGCUUUUAACUUAAACGAGGCCGACCUCUCGGGCAUAUCGCAAGAGGGUUUGUACAUCGACGACGUCAUCCAAAAGGCUUUCAUCAACGUCACCGAGUCGGGAACGGAGGCCGCCGCCGCCACUGCCGUGAAGUUCGUUCCGACAUCCGGCAAACUCCCUCCUAUUACGGAAUUCAUAGCUGACCGCCCCUUCGCAUAUUAUAUCAAAUCCAACGGGAUAGUGUUAUUCGUCGGAAAAAUCUCAAACCCAAACUGAUCGAUGAUCGAUGUUAUUGUCGUCUGCAAGUCUCUAAUUAUUUCCUUAGAACAGGUUCUAGUGUCGUUUGUCUCCCUUCCUUUACCGGCAACCACGACGUUCAAGGCCGACCACCCGUUUCUGUUCUUCAUCACACUGAACGAAGUCCAUGUCUUCGCUGGAAGAGUUGCAUCCCACCGAGCACUAAUUCAUAAUUAAAGUGAAAAUUAGUAGUAUCCAGUUUAUUUUUGUAUCUCCCGCUCUAUGUAUGUUUAAUAAAAAAUGCCCAACUU